GAUAAAUGCUGGCGGCGUGUCUAAGGCAUGCAAGUCGCACGAACCCAUUUGAGAUUAUAUCAAUGAUGGGUGAGUGGCAGACGGGAGCGUAACACAUUGGUAACCUACCCCAGAGACGCGAACAACUCACCGAAAGGUGAGCUAAUACGCGAUAUUGUCCAAACAGUAUGUGUUUGGAUGAAAGCUUCGGCGCUCUGGGAGGGGCCUAUGCCCCAUCAGCUUGUUGGCGAGGUAAUGGCUCACCAAGGCUAUGACGGGUAGGGGACGUGAGAGCGUGAUCCCCCUCACUGGGACUGAGACACUGCCCAGACACCUACGGGUGGCUGCAGUCGAGAAUCUUCCUCAAUGGCCGAAAGGCUGAAGGAGCGACGCCGCGUGCGGGAUGAAGGCCUUCGGUCGUAAACCGCUUUUUAGGUACGAACAAAUGACGGUACCUAAAGAAUAAGAAGGUUGCUAACUACUGUGCCAGCAGCCGCGGUAA
rnacentral:rRNA from 1 species